rnacentral:rRNA from 1 species
AUUGAACGCUGGCGGCGUGCUUUACACAUGCAAGUCGAACGAAUGGCGAACGGGUGAGUAAUAUAUCGGAACGUACCGAGUAAUGGGGGAUAACCAAUCGAAAGAUUGGCUAAUACCUCAUAUUCUUCGAGCGGCCGAUAACGGAUUAGCUAGUUGGUGGGGUAAGGUCCUACCAAGGCGACGAUCAGUAGCGGGGCUGAGAGGACGAUCCGCCACACUGGGACUGAGACACGGCCCAGACUCCUACGGGAGGCAGCAGUGGGGAAGUGUGGACAAUGGGGGCAACCCUGAUCCAGCCAUGCCGCGUGGAUGAAGAAGGCCUUCGGGUUGUAAAGGACUGUUGUUAGGGAAGCGGUACCUAAAGAAUAAGCACCGGCUAACUACGUGCCAGCAGCCGCGGUAAUUC